rnacentral:rRNA from 1 species
UACGUAGGGUGCAAGCGUUAAUCGGAAUUACUGGGCGUAAAGCGUGCGCAGGCGGUUUUGCAAGACAGAUGUGAAAUCCCCGGGCUUAACCUGGGAACUGCAUUUGUGACUGCAUAGCUAGAGUACGGUAGAGGGGGAUGGAAUUCCGCGUGUAGCAGUGAAAUGCGUAGAUAUGCGGAGGAACACCGAUGGCGAAGGCAAUCCCCUGGACCUGUACUGACGCUCAUGCACGAAAGCGUGGGGAGCAAACAGG